AAUAUUGCACAAUGGGGGAAACCCUGAUGCAGCAACGCCGCGUAGGCGAUGAAGGCCUUCGGGUCGUAAAGCCCGUUCCGAGGGGAAGAUAAGGACGGUACCUUGGGAGGACGCCCCGGCUAACUACGUGCCAGCCGCCGCGGUAAUACGAAGGGGGCAAGCGUUAUCCGGAAUCAUUGGGCGUAAAGGGUGCGUAGGCUGCCCUAUAGGUCAGAGGUCAAAGGCUACGGCUCAACCGUAGUAAGCCUUUGAAACUGUAGGGCUUGAGUGCAGGAGAGGAGAGUGGAAUUCCUAGUGUAGCGGUGAAAUGCGUAGAUAUUAGGAGGAACACCAGUGGCGAAGGCGACUCUCUGGACUGCAACUGACGCUGAGGCACGAAAGCGUGGGUAGCGAACA
rnacentral:rRNA from 1 species